rnacentral:rRNA from 2 species
CCGAUUAAAGUGGCACGCGAGCUGGGUUCAGAACGUCGUGAGACAGUUCGGUCCCUAUCUGUUGUGGGCGCAGGAUAUUUGAGGAGCUCUGACUCUAGUACGAGAGGACCGGGUUGGACAUACCUCUGGUGAAUCAGUUGUGUCGCCAGAUGCACUGCUGAGUAGCUAUGUAUGGAUUGGAUAAGCGCUGAAAGCAUCUAAGCGCGAAGCCAGCUUCAAGAUGAGAUAUCCUUACAGGGUCGUUCGAGAUGAGAACGUUGAUAGGUUGCAGGUGUAUAGUCGGUGACGGCACAGCCGAGCAAUACUAAUUACCCGAAUGUUUACUUUAA